rnacentral:rRNA from 1 species
GAUGAACGCUGGCGGCGUGCCUAAUACAUGCAAGUCGAGCGAACGGACGAGAAGCUUUCUUCUCUGAUGUUAUCGGCGGACGGGUGAGUAACACGUGGAUAACCUACCUAUAAGACUGGGAUAACUUCGGGAAACCGUAUCUACGACCGGAUAAUAUUUUGCACCGCAUUGUUCAAAAGUGAAAUACGGUCUUUCUUUCACUUAUAGAUGGAUCCGCGCUGCAUUAGCUAGUUGGUAAGGUAACGGCUUACCAAGGCAACGAUGCAUAGCCGACCUGAGAGGGUGGUCGGACAGACUGGCAGUGAGAAACAGUCCCGACUCCUACACGAGGAAGCAGUAGGGAAUCUUCCGCGAUGGGGGAAAGCCUGACGGAGCACCACCGCGUGAGGGAUGAAGGCCUUCGGAUCGUAAAACUAUGUUAUUAGGGAAGAACAUAUGUGUAAGUAACUGUGAACAUAUUGACGGUACCUAAUGAGAAAGCCCCGGCUAACUCCGUG